rnacentral:rRNA from 1 species
UGGGGAAUAUUGGGCAAUGGGCGAAAGCCUGACCCAGCAACGCCGCGUGAGGGAAGAAGGUCUUCGGAUUGUAAACCUUUGUCCUAUGGGACGAAACAAAUGACGGUACCAUAGGAGGAAGCUCCGGCUAACUACGUGCCAGCAGCCGCGGUAAUACGUAGGGAGCAAGCGUUGUCCGGAAUUACUGGGCGUAAAGGGUGCGUAGGUGGCCAUGUAAGUUAGGUGUGAAAGACCGGGGCUUAACCCCGGGGCGGCACUUAAAACUGUGUGGCUUGAGUACAGGAGAGGGAAGUGGAAUUCCUA